AAAAAAUAUUUUAUUUGAUGAAAUAAGUUUAGAAGCCAAGUUCACUUGAAUUAAACUGCUACAAACAUCUCUCACCUAAGCCCAAGCCCAAGGAAAAAGUAUCCAAAUCUUAACAGAUAUGAUAGGAGCACUAGACUAACGAGGUAAGACCUGAUCUCCCUCUUUAGCAGCAGUCUGCGAGCAUUCUUCUUUCACCGAUGGCACUCCACUGGCUUCUAAAGGGGAAAGCUUUGCAGAAACUCAAACCAUAGAGGGAAGACCAAUCAUCAACAUCAGAAGGAGCAUAAUCGCCCCAAAACAAACCAAAAUAUUUGCUGCUUUCAACGCUUACAAACUCAAAUGGACCAGAGAUUUGCAGCAAACGCUGGUUUAGAACUGAGGCUUGGACUAAUGCCGGACGAAUCAGGAAAAGGUUUGGCA
rnacentral:misc_RNA from 1 species